GCGAUACAGGGUGACAGCCCCGUACACAAAAAUGCACAUAUUGUGAGCUCGAUGAGUAGGGCGGGACACGUGGUAUCCUGUCUGAAUAUGGGGGGACCAUCCUCCAAGGCUAAAUACUCCUGACUGACCGAUAGUGAACCAGUACCGUGAGGGAAAGGCGAAAAGAACCCCGGCGAGGGGAGUGAAAAAGAACCUGAAACCGUGUACGUACAAGCAGUGGGAGCCUCUUAAUGGGGUGACUGCGUACCUUUUGUAUAAUGGGUCAGCGACUUAUAUUCUGUAGCAAGGUUAACCGAAUAGGGGAGCCGAAGGGAAACCGAGUCUUAACUGGGCGUUAAGUUGCAGGGUAUAGACCCGAAACCCGGUGAUCUAGCCAUGGGCAGGUUGAAGGUUGGGUAACACUAACUGGAGGACCGAACCGACUAAUGUUGAAAAAUUAGCGGAUGACUUGUGGCUGGGGGUGAAAGGCCAAUCAAACCGGGAGAUAGCUGGUUCUCCCCGAAAGCUAUUUAGGUAGCGCCUCGUGAAUUCAUCUCCGGGGGUAGAGCACUGUUUCGGCAAGGGGGUCAUCCCGACUUACCAACCCGAUGCAAACUGCGAAUACCGGAGAAUGUUAUCACGGGAGACACACGGCGGGUGCUAACGUCCGUCGUGA
rnacentral:rRNA from 1 species